ACCCGGUAAAAUAUACAUAUAUUUAAAAUUUUAUUUGUUAUACAAUUUGUGUGAGAAUAAAUAUUUAUUUAUUUCUACUAAUAGUGAAUAGAGACUAUUGCUUAGAAUAAUAUUGAUAGAUUUUUAAACAUAGUUGAAAUUAAAGUAAAUGUCAAGGUAAAAUUAUGGUGUUUUUACGAAUUAGGAUAAUUACUCAAUUAAAGCCCAAUAUGAAAGUCUAUUAGAGUUUUAUAGAUUAUAUAGUGGGUUUAAUUUAGGGAAAUUUACACCCACUACUGAUUUUUCCCAUUUUAUUACAUUUAUACUGUGCCACGCUGGAAACAACAUUUAUACUGUUUUUUUUUUUUUUGGCAGUUUACUGCCUUUUAAACUUUAGCUGUGUAAGGGAUUUUCAUUGCCACUUGUCACGAUAGGGUUUUGCCACGUUUUUUUUUUAAAACAAUUUUUUUUUUUUUGGCAGUUGCAAACUUUUUACAUAAAAUAUAUAUAUAUAUAUUAUAAUCUUAAAAAACGUGUGGGGGGUUUUUCUUUUUUUUUUUAAUUUUCUUUUAAUUAAAAUUAUAUUAUAUUUUAAAGGUAUAAAGGUGUGAUGUGACUUGUGUUGUCACUUUAGUGAUAUAUAUUUUUUUUUAUUAUUUUUUUAAUUAAAAUUGAUGAUAAAAAUAUGUCACCUAAAAUAUUUCAAACUUAUUUCUUUCACUCUAAUCUCUCUUCUCCAUUAUUCUCUCUUACUAUUCAUCAUCUUCUUCAUUUUUUUCACUCUCUACUUCCUCAAGUUCUCUCUAUUUCUCUCCAUCAACAUAUAACUUUUUUAUUUUUUUUUCAUGUUCAGUUCUUCUUCUUCAUCUUCUUUUCUUUUCUUCUUCUUUUUUUUUUUUUUUAAUUUUUUGAAGUUCUUAGUUACGUUUUUUUUGAAAAUAUAAGAGUUAGUGUGGUUUUUUUUUGUUCUAAUUUUCCAGAUCUUUCUUGCAAAUAUAGUGCAUUUAGUAUUGAGGAUGUGCACAACAUAGUUAAUUUUUGAUCAUUUUUUUCUUUUAUUGUUUUAUUUGUUUUAGUAUUGUUUUAGUAUUGUUUUACUGUUGUUUUUCAUGAUUUUUAUUUUUUUUUCAUGUUCAGUUCUUCUUCUUCAUCUUCUUUUCUUUUCUUCUUCUUUUUUUUUUUUAAUUUUUUUAAGUUCUUAGUUACGUUUUUUUUUAAAAUAUAAGAGUUAGUGUGGGUUUUUUUUGUUCUAAUUUUCUAGAACUUUCUUGCAAAUAUAGUGCAUUUAGUAUUGGGGAUGUGCACAACAUAGUUAAUUUUUUAUCAUUUUUUUCUUUUAUUGUUUUAUUUGUUUUAGUAUUGUUUUACUGUUGUUUUUCAUGAUUUAUUUAUUUGAUGCCGAUUUCACUGCCCUUGCUCCAUCUCGCUGGAAUUAAUAGGUAUUUUCUGGGUGUUCUCGUGUUGUUGUGAUGGUUAUGUCUGUGAGUUUGAAAGAUAGAGGCUAUAAAUACAUUUCUUCUUCGUUCUCUUUGGCUAUUUUUGUGGUUUUUUUCUUUUGGUUCUCCUAUAAAUAUAUUUGACGAGCUCACUCACAAGAGAGUUUUGAGGUGUGUGUUUCUUUUAUAUUUUUCUAAGUAGUUAUAUUUGCUUCAUUUGUUUUUGUGUUGUUUCAGUGUUGUUUUAGUAGUUUUUUUUUUUUUAUAAUUUUCUAGGAAUAGACUUGCAAAUAUAGUUGAUUUUGCAUCUGGUGUUGAGGUUGUGCAGCAGAUUGUUUGUUUUUGUUAAUCAUUUUUUUCUUUUGUUUUGUUUGAUUGUUUUAGUGUUGUUUUACUGUUGUUUUGCCAUGAUUAUUUAUUGACGUCGAUUUUACUGCUUUUGUUUAUUCUUGCCGGAUUUAAUGGUUUUUUCUUGGUGAUUUCCGUCUCCGGCGUCUCCCCACACACGAAGAAGGUUGUUUCCCGUGUGUUUUUCUGUUCACAGUAUAAAUGUUAUGCUGUUGGGCUUGGGCAGUACAAAAGUAAUGAAAUUGGGCUGGGGCAGUAAAAAUGUUGUUUUUGCCGUGUCCCAGUAUAAUUGUAAAGUUUUGGUCCAAAAACAGUAUUUUUGUAAAAUUCCCUUAAUUUAUUGUAUGAGUGCAUUAAAUAACAUUAUAAUGGAAUUAAUGUCGCAAAAAUUCGUAGGUUUUGAUAAAUUCGCACGAUUAAAAACUGUUUUACUAAAAUGAUCAUAUCUAGAGUUUUAGAGCUCCGAUUGAGGUGAUUCUAGUGGCGUUGGAAAGAUAAUUCAAAGAUCUAUAAAUUUUGUAGAAAUAGUUAUAUCAUAAUUCGGAAUUUUUCUAGGUGAAAACUGAGCCUAAAGUUACGAGAUAAAGGGCUUACUUUUAAAAUUUAAAAAUUAGAUAUUUGUUGAUUUAAUAAUAUUUUAGCGUUUUAUUAUAUAUUAUUAUUUUUAGUUAACCUAAAUCUAUCAGAAUACGAUAUCUCAUAAUCUUUUUAUCAAACCCUAAACUAUCAUAGUUUUAUUUUUCCUCUCCAAACCAAUUAGUCAAAGCCUCAUUCUUCUUCAUGGUUGCUUCUCUCAAACCUUCCACAAUUCUUCUUAUUUUCUACCUUCAUUCUUACAGUUUUGGAUUUAUAAUCAAGGCUUGUGGGCUUGAGACAUCAAAUAGAAAGUUGUGAAGAGGUAGUAAUGACGAGAUAACAAAUCUUAUGCAGCGGGAUUUGAUGAUCUUAUCCUCAACAAGAAAAUUUAUUGAGGUGCUUGGAGUAGCAAGAAGGUGUUCUUAACAACUGAGGUAAAGACAAAACUAAACAGUGAGGAUGGCGAGCUCGAGGCGUGAAUUACAUGUUAGGGGAUUGUCACGAUGUUUUGGUUUAAGAAUAUUUCUUUAAAGAUUUUGGCUCGAUUACUUUUGUAAAAAUUAAUGUUUAAAAAUUUGUAAAUGAAUCAAGUGUUUUUGUUUUAAAAUAAUGAGAUCUCAUGCUUUAAUUAUGUUCAAUAAAUUAGUUUAUCAUUUUUAUAAUAAAUGGUUUUAAACGGACUAACUAGUGUGACGUCUCGGGAAAUCGGGGCGUUACAAUAUGGUAUCAGAGCAAUACCGUCCUAAAGGAUGUGGUUGACCCUAACAUGUAAAGUUCAUUACCACGAGACGAGCUCGACUCACUGUACUGUAAGUUUUAGUUAAUCUGUUCAUGUUAGUUUUACAUAUUUUAUGUUGCGUUACAUCUUUAGUGUAACUAGAAGUUUUCUUUGUGUUUUGAAGAAUAUGUCUUAAAAUUUUAUGGGUAGGAUUCGAUCUAUGAGAUAUUUUUGGAAAAAAAAAUUCAAGGUAUUGCUAAAUUACGUAAUUUAAGUUUGAUUUUUGAUAAGUUGUACUUAUUUUCAUAAAUAAGGAGCAUAAGAAGAGUGUUUUUCAAAAGAAAUUGUGUUAUAAGCAGAUUGGAAUAGAGUAUGUUAGGAAAAAAAAAAGAAUUUAGUUGUUAUAUUAGUAUUUCUAACGAGAGUGUAUGUUUCAGGUUUAAUAAAUUAGACAUAUGUAACUAUUAGUACGUUCUUAAGUUUGAUUUUUUAAGUGUUAAUGGAUAGAUAAUUUUAAGCUCUACUCUACUUAUUAGAAAUAAUUAAGUUGAAUUUUGGUUAAGGGUGAAAUCUAAUCAUUAAGGUUAUAAUAGAAGAACAGAUUGUGACAGUCAGUAGUCCCGUGAUCCGUAAGGGGAUAUACCGGGUAAGCUGUGCAAUCCCACACCGCUUGGGGAAGGUCAAGUGUGAUGAUUCUGAGGCUGUGUAGGUAUGGGACUACACAGUUGAAGAGGGCUUAAAUGGAUUGAUUGGUACUAUCAGUAGCCAGAGUAGUGUACUCGUGUAUAAGAGUCAUUCAUUCUGUGGGUGUAAGAAUUGGAUUAAGCGAUUUUUUUUCUCGAGUCAUUCUUAGAAAGAGUGAUUUUGAUAGUAAGUCUUAUUCCUAUUUCAUUAGUUGGAUGGAUUAGUAAAUGUUUCUUUUACAAUGAUAUGCAUGUCGCUCAUUCCUGAGAGUAUGUUAACUUGAAUGACACCGGUUUGUUGAUGAUAUAUUAAAUCGUUAUGUGUAGGGCAACAUUCUUAAUAAUUAUGCUACGAAACUAUAAUAACGGAAUUGUAGCUUUAUGGAGGAAAUUAAGUUAAAAAAAAAAUUAACAUUCAAUGAAAGAAUGGGAACAAUUAAAGAGAAGUUUGCAUAAGUUCUUCUACCCUACUCCUUGUUGUUUGUUAUUUUUGUAUUGUAUAAUGUGUU